CUGAGAGGUUGGCCGGCCACAUUGGGACUGAGACACGGCCCAACUCCUACGGGAGGCAGCUAUGAGGAAUAUUGGGCAAUGGGCGGAAGUCUGAACCAGCAACGUCGCGUGAAGGAAGAAGGCCCUCGGGUUGUAAACUUCUUUUAACAGGGAGAAGGAAGUGACGGUACCUGUUGAAUAAGCCACGGCUAACUACGUGCCAG
rnacentral:rRNA from 1 species